AGAGUUUGAUCAUGGCUCAGAUUGAACGCUGGCGGCAGGCCUAACACAUGCAAGUCGAACGGUAGCACAGAGAGCUUGCUCUCGGGUGACGAGUGGCGGACGGGUGAGUAAUGUCUGGGAAACUGCCUGAUGGAGGGGGAUAACUACUGGAAACGGUAGCUAAUACCGCAUAACGUCGCAAGACCAAAGAGGGGGACCUUCGGGCCUCUUGCCAUCAGAUGUGCCCAGAUGGGAUUAGCUAGUAGGUGGGGUAACGGCUCACCUAGGCGACGAUCCCUAGCUGGUCUGAGAGGAUGACCAGCCACACUGGAACUGAGACACGGUCCAGACUCCUACGGGAGGCAGCAGUGGGGAAUAUUGCACAAUGGGCGCAAGCCUGAUGCAGCCAUGCCGCGUGUAUGAAGAAGGCCUUCGGGUUGUAAAGUACUUUCAGCGAGGAGGAAGGCGAUACGGUUAAUAACCGUGUCGAUUGACGUUACUCGCAGAAGAAGCACCGGCUAACUCCGUGCCAGCAGCCGCGGUAAUACGGAGGGUGCAAGCGUUAAUCGGAAUUACUGGGCGUAAAGCGUACGCAGGCGGUCUGUCAAGUCGGAUGUGAAAUCCCCGGGCUCAACCUGGGAACUGCAUUCGAAACUGGCAGGCUUGAGUCUUGUAGAGGGGGGUAGAAUUCCAGGUGUAGCGGUGAAAUGCGUAGAGAUCUGGAGGAAUACCGGUGGCGAAGGCGGCCCCCUGGACAAAGACUGACGCUCAGGUGCGAAAGCGUGGGGAGCAAACAGGAUUAGAUACCCUGGUAGUCCACGCCGUAAACGAUGUCGACUUGGAGGUUGUGCCCUUGAGGCGUGGCUUCCGGAGCUAACGCGUUAAGUCGACCGCCUGGGGAGUACGGCCGCAAGGUUAAAACUCAAAUGAAUUGACGGGGGCCCGCACAAGCGGUGGAGCAUGUGGUUUAAUUCGAUGCAACGCGAAGAACCUUACCUACUCUUGACAUCCACGGAACUUAGCAGAGAUGCUUUGGUGCCUUCGGGAACCGUGAGACAGGUGCUGCAUGGCUGUCGUCAGCUCGUGUUGUGAAAUGUUGGGUUAAGUCCCGCAACGAGCGCAACCCUUAUCCUUUGUUGCCAGCGGUUCGGCCGGGAACUCAAAGGAGACUGCCAGUGAUAAACUGGAGGAAGGUGGGGAUGACGUCAAGUCAUCAUGGCCCUUACGAGUAGGGCUACACACGUGCUACAAUGGCAUAUACAAAGAGAAGCGACCUCGCGAGAGCAAGCGGACCUCAUAAAGUAUGUCGUAGUCCGGAUUGGAGUCUGCAACUCGACUCCAUGAAGUCGGAAUCGCUAGUAAUCGUGGAUCAGAAUGCCACGGUGAAUACGUUCCCGGGCCUUGUACACACCGCCCGUCACACCAUGGGAGUGGGUUGCAAAAGAAGUAGGUAGCUUAACCUUCGGGAGGGCGCUUACCACUUUGUGAUUCAUGACUGGGGUGAAGUCGUAACAAGGUAACCGUAGGGGAACCUGCGGUUGGAUCACCU
rnacentral:rRNA from 1 species